rnacentral:rRNA from 1 species
GACGAACGCUGGCGGCGUGCUUAACACAUGCAAGUCGAACGGUAAGGCCCUUCGGGGUACACGAGUGGCGAACGGGUGAGUAACACGUGGGUGAUCUGCCCUGCACUUCGGGAUAAGCCUGGGAAACUGGGUCUAAUACCGGAUAGGACUCCUCGCUUCCUGGUUGGGGGUGGAAAGCUUUUGCGGUGUGGGAUGGGCCCGCGGCCUAUCAGCUUGUUGGUGGGGUAAUGGCCUACCAAGGCGACGACGGGUAGCCGGCCUGAGGGGGUGACCGGUCACACUGGGACUGAGAUACGGCCCAGACUCCUACGGGAGGCAGCAGUGGGGAAUAUUGCACAAUGGGCGCAAGCCUGAUGCAGCGACGCCGCGUGAGGGAUGACGGCCUUCGGGUUGUAAACCUCUUUCAGCUAUGACGAAGCGCAAGUGACGGUAGUAGCAGAAGAAGGACCGGCCAACUACGUGCCAGCCGCCGCAGUAA